AAAGGUUUGUCAACGUUUGGACCAAUAGAGUGAUGCAUUUGGGGAACACAACAUCUAACAGAGUUGAGUCUGCUCAUUGGAGAUUGAAAAACAUGCUUCAAACUAGUUUUGAUGAUUUGUGUAAAAGCUGGGAUGUAGUGAAUAUGAUGUUGAAGAACCAAAUAUGUAUCAUUCAGUCUUCUUUUCAGAAAA